rnacentral:rRNA from 1 species
AGGCAGCAGUGGGGAAUAUUGGACAAUGGGGGAAACCCUGAUCCAGCGAUGCCGCGUGGGUGAAGAAGGCCUGCGGGUUGUAAAGCCCUUUCAGUGGGGAAGAAAAACGGGGUGUGAACAGCGCUUCGUCUUGACGUUACCCACAGAAGAAGCACCGGCUAACUCCGUGCCAGCAGCCGCGGUAAUACGGAGGGUGCGAGCGUUAAUCGGAAUUACUGGGCGUAAAGGGCGCGUAGGCGGUUGGGUAAGUCGGGUGUGAAAGCCCUGGGCUUAACCUGGGAAUGGCAUUCGAGACCACCUAUCUAGAGUCUGGUAGAGGGAAGUGGAAUUUCCGGUGUAGCGGUGAAAUGUGUAGAUAUCGGAAGGAACACCAGUGGCGAAGGCGACUUCCUGGACCAAGACUGACGCUGAGGCGCGAAAGCGUGGGGAUCAAACAGGAUUAGAUACCCUGGUAGUCCACGCCCUAAACGAUGAGAACUGGCCGUUGGGGGAGUUAAAUCC